rnacentral:rRNA from 1 species
AAUGGGCGCAAGCCUGAUCCAGCAAUGCCGCGUGGGCGAAGACGGCCUGCGGGUUGUAAAGCCCUUUGGGCGGGGAAGAACGGCGGGCUGCGAACAGCGGUCCGCCCUGACAUUACCCGCAGAACAAGCACCGGCUAACUCCGUGCCAGCAGCCGCGGUAAUACGGAGGGUGCGAGCGUUAAUCGGAAUUACUGGGCGUAAAGCGUGCGUAGGCGGUCCGGUCAGUCAGCCGUGAAAGCCCCGGGCUCAACCUGGGAACGGCGGUUGAGACGGCCGGACUGGAGUGGGCUAGAGGAUCGUGGAAUUCCGGGUGUAGCGGUGAAAUGCGUAGAGAUCCGGAGGAACACCGAUGGCGAAGGCAGCGGUCUGGGGCCACACUGACGCUGAGGCACGAAAGCGUGGGGAGCAAA